GCCAGCGUAGCUCAGUUGGUAGAGCAAUGCUUUCGUAAAGCAGAGGUCGUGGGUUCGACUCCCACCGCUGGCU
rnacentral:tRNA from 1 species